GUCAAGUGCACUGCUUGACCUUUGACUUGGGGUUUUAUACAAUGGCAUGCUUCCGGGCUCUGCAUCUCUUCUUCUUGAUUCUUCCUUGGGAUGGGCUGUCUGGGUGCACAGUGGCCUGCCAGCACUUGGGAGGGGCCACAUGUGCAGUGUAUUUAACUGGAGUUGUGUGCAUGCUCACUUGAGGCAUUCUCCCCUUACCAGUGUUCCUGGAGGAAGGUCAUAUACUGGUUAAACUCCGUCAUUUUGCCCCUUAGUGUACAUACUUGAGCCCACUCACCCAACUCUAGAGAUCUCACUGGGAAGCUGCUGAUUGCUAGUUUCAGGUGUUUCUCUCUACUAGGAGACUGCCUUUCCCUGGCACCAGCUGUGACCAAUUCCUAGGUUGGUGCAAAAGUAAUUGCGGUCUUUGUCAUUAAAACCAAUAACAAAAACCACAAUUACUUUUUACUGACCUAAAGAUUAAUUUAGGGAGACAGUGUAACAAAUGCUUUACCAUCACCUGAUGGUUGCCUGACAUUCCUGGUGGUUGGGAGGGUUCCUCUCCUGCCCUGCUCAUGGCUGGCUAGCUACCUACUGUAACAAGAGCACAGGCUGUCAAGCAGGUUUUUGGCUUCCCAGACAGGGCCCAUGGAUUUUGUGAAUGCAGCCACUAUUUAUUGAUGUAAUCGCUCCACCCUAUAGGGCUGGAGUUGUGCUUGGCCACAGAGUGCCAGAUGGCCAUUAGGUACCAGCUGCUUCCACCCAAGAACACUGUCACUCACAGAAUGCAGCUGCACAGAUACCAAGAUGGAAGCCCCAACAGUUAUCAUGGAUGUUAAGAAAUCCUACCGCCACUUCAAAUCACAAGACUAGCUAACAUAUACUGAAUGCUUAUCACACAUCGGGUGCUGUGCUAAGCACUUCAUGUGGAUUAUUAGUUCCUUAAAUCCUUCCGACAAGCUAUCAUUUGACUUUCUAGGGACUCUUCUAAGAAUAAAACUAUCCUUGAACUACAGCACUGUUUUAGGAAUUGUGGGAGUCUUCCCUUCCAACCCAACUCCUGUGUUCUCUUGGGGAAUCCUUGAAGAGCUCAAUGACUACUGCCCACUAAGUGCCCUCACACUACAUGCUCCUUGUCAGCUUUACAGGACAUGCGGAUCCUGGGAGCCUUACCUCAUUCUCUGUUGAAGAGAAGAUACAAUAUAGUUUUUUGUUUAUUGCCUGUGUGAUGCUAGAUCAGCUUGUGCCUUAAACUUGGUAUUGAAGGGGUGACCUAGACAGAAACUGCCCAAAGAGUGAAAUUUAUUUACUAAUAAGUAUGAAUUGUCUGCAUGCAAAGGAUGCAUUUUAUUGGAAAAAU
rnacentral:lncRNA from 10 species